AGUGAACGCUGGCGGUAGGCCUAACACAUGCAAGUCGAACGGCAGCACAGUAAGAGCUUGCUCUUACGGGUGGCGAGUGGCGGACGGGUGAGGAAUACAUCGGAAUCUACUUUUUCGUGGGGGAUAACGUAGGUAAACUUACGCUAAUACCGCAUACGACCUACGGGUGAAAGCAGGGGAUCUUCGGACCUUGCGCGAUUGAAUGAGCCGAUGUCGGAUUAGCUGGUUGGCGGGGUAAAGGCCCACCAAGGCGACGAUCCGUAGCUGGUCUGAGAGGAUGGUCGGCCGCACUGGAACUGAGACACGGUCCAGACUCCUACGGGAGGCAGCAGUGGGGAAUAUUGGACAAUGGGCGCAAGCCUGAUCCAGCCAUACCGCGUGGGUGAAGAAGGCCUUCGGGUUGUAAAGCCCUUUUGUUGGGAAAGAAAAGCAGCAGGUUAAUACCCCGCUGUUCUGACGGUACCCAAAGAAUAAGCACCGGCUAACUUCGUG
rnacentral:rRNA from 1 species